GGGGAUGACACGGCUUCGACGCGUAGUAACGUGAAGCGGACUGUCCCGCCGAGCCUCCUGGUUUGCUCGUAAAUCCCAUCAGGAACUCGCAACUGCGGACGAUUAUUCGUACGCGAUGGCGGCGUAACAGCCCCCAUCUGUCUCACGUCGCUCCUGACCCUUGGGGAGCGUGAGACAUCGACAAAAAGGGUGUAGUCGUCCUGUUCUCCGGCUGCGGAUGAGACGGCGAAUGCCAAUCAGCCUUUGCGGUGCCCUGGCCUCGUGGACGGGCAGACGGGCAGCGUAAGCCUUCAAUGCAUCCACUAUGCGGGUAGAGGUUCGACCUGCACGGCUACGCGGACCCGGGUUCGACUCCCGGCAUCUCCAC
rnacentral:tmRNA from 1 species